GGAGCCUAACUCUGGGCUUGACCUCAAGACGCUGAGAUCAUGACUUGAAAUGGAAUCAAGAGUCAGGCACUAAACUGACAGAGCCACCCACGUGCCUGGUAAGGUGUAUAGACGUGGGUAUAAAUGUACUCUUGGAUAAGAAUGCACACACCUGGAAAUUCAAAUGUGUGGGGUAAGACUCAAGAGAGGUAUGUGCUUAAGUAGGUAUAACCAGAUAAGGUUCAUUAUCAAAGAAACCUAAAGGUGAAGCAAAUGAAAAUGAUGGCUUUGCAUGACCCCGAGUUUGCUCAUUUCAAUUAAAGGAUGCCCUGUGGCUUUAUCAUCCCUGAGUUUUGCCUCUACGAAUAUAGCAUUUUUAAUAACUCACAUAAUUUUAUAUGAUGUUGAAAUGAUAAUUAUAAGCAUACAAAUUAGAUCCACAAAAAAUAAAUUUGAGAUUCUUUUGCACAGAUUUAUCUAUUUUUUCCUAUUUAUGUAUUUAAUCAUUUAUUACAGACACCUGGAUAUUUAGCUUUAUGCUUUGUGUUAUAAUCCAAUACUGCUUUACCUAUUUUCUCACUCAAAUUAUUCCAGCUGUGGUCACUGGGAGAUUUUUCAGUUGGUUCCUGUGUCAUUUGGACAUACUCCUAUCAUUGUGGAGUUGAGUGUUUGUUUGUUUGUUUGUUUGUUUGCUGCUGUUACUAUUGCUUUUCUUUGAGCCUUUCCUUAUUUUCUGUCACUACAAGGUGCCCGGGGCUUACUUUGUGUAUUUCCUGUCCCAAUCCUAAAUCAGCCAUUUCUCCAAGGGUCUGGUUGCUUUUAUGAGAGAACGGUGUUAGAAACCAGUAUCUCCUUGCUAUUGGGCACAGUUAUUCUUAGGUCCUCUCAUUUGGCAAAACAAAGAAAUAUAUGUGUGUGUGCAAACUAGCAUAUGUACACAUAUCUAUAAAUAUUUCGGCACGUAUUCAUUUGGAUCUAUAUUAAGAUAAACUGCUGUCUCCAGUGCUUGGCCACAUGAAUCACUCUAGUCUCUCCCUUUGCUUAUCUAUAACCUUCUGCUCCAAAAGUGAGAAACUUGGUUCUCAACAUCUACCACCCAUUUACUUUUUGUUCAGUUCCAGUUUACCUGUCUAGUGGUUUCAAAAUUAACCCAGUGGAGCUCAUCUUCGCCAAUAGAGUGCAAUCCUUUGCAUAGCUGCUUUUCCCAUUGGUCUUAUAUAGCAUUUAUACUCAAUUCACUUCCAAAGUUACUUAGAUCAGCAGACUUCCCCCCAACCCCUAUGGUAAAGAUUAUUUCCUACAUUCAUAAUGUAGUUAGAUUAUUUUGGCAUAACUUGCAUUUCAUCCUGGGAUUCCCCCCAUCUUGUAAAUGAUUUUUUAAGUUUGCAUAUAUUAAAAAAAGAAAUGAGGUUAGCAGUUAUUUAUCUGUUAGUAUUCUAGCUUCAUUCGAAGGCAAGCUAACAUACUUGCCCAUGAAGCCUUCCUAAAUCAUUGGAGACUAUAAUAAUUCCUCUUUGACUUGAGAUCAGAAUAGAGACUUCUUUUGCUUUCCUUUACCUAAGAGAAUGCUGAGCCUCACAAGGAAGAAAUCAAAUGACUUUCCAAAACCUUUUAAAAAGACAAAUGAUAAGAGACUCUUAAUCUUAGGAAACACACUGAGAGUUGCUGGAGAGGUAGGAGG